UCCCAUGUGGUCAAGUGGUUAGGAUCUGGAGCUCUCACCGACAUGGCCCGGGUUCAAUUCCCGGCAUGGGAA
rnacentral:tRNA from 1 species